UGCAGAAUCCCGCGAACCAUCAAGUCUUUGAACGCAGUUGCGCCCGGAGCCUUUGGGCUGAGGGCUUGCCUGCUUGGGUGUCA
rnacentral:rRNA from 1 species